rnacentral:lncRNA from 1 species
AAUGAGCAAGUAAUGCUUCAUGGUCUAUGAUCUUUCAGGAUAAUUCCUUCAAAUUACAUACUCCCACGUAUCAUACAUCAUGAGUAGAUGAAUGAUUUCUAUCAGCAAACAGUCAACAAGGUUCACAGAAGGCACAUUCAAGUCCAGGAAAAUAAUUCAACCAGUUUGGGGUUAUUAAACCAGUGUUCUGUGGUUACAGUUUUGUGAGAGAGAUUUUAUACUUUGUUCUUUGUCAUGUAAAAAUAGGCCAGUUGUCUUAUAGGACACAAGUUCUAUAAUUUAUCUGUAUUUGCAUCAACAACGUUUGCUUGGAAACUGCUUGCCUUAGCUGAAUGCGUACCUACGGAAAGUAUUACGCCUUCAGUAACUGCAGAUAAGACAUUGUCAGUUUGACCUAAUUCUUCCAUAGAGAUAAGCAGUUCUGUCAAUGAUGCGUUAGCACAUGACUUUGAAACCAAAUCACUAUCAUUUGAUGAUUUUGGUGCAAUAGGAAGAAAUUUGUUAGCGCCUUUUGAUGGUGAUGUUGAAGAACUAGCGUUAGGUCUUCACUUAUGCUGGAGCAGCGCACAGCAGCACCCAGCAUUGCUGGGGAAGGUGGGCCGCUGUUCCCCUAACAACACCCCAGCCAUGGCUACUUCAUCUUGGUUCUGGUAGCUCCUCUCCUACUGAAUGCAGUCCCAGCAAUGGAGCUUAGCUUCUGCUCUUCGCGUCUCCUACUUAACCACCAAGGUCUCUGCAAUCUGCAGAACUUGAUGUCCCUGCCAUGAAUGUUUGAUAGACACACAGUUGGGUAAGUCUUAGCAUUUAUUACACUGAAAAGGAGAGAGAAAACAAACAGCGAGAGUGUUGGAGAAAAACAGAAUUUUUACUUUUAGGUUGGGUGCAGCAAGUUAGAUACUUUAUUAUUUUUAGCAAUUGCAUGGAGGGAGAAAGCAAAACAGGUUUGUUUUUUAGGUAAAUAAUUAUAGCAGCAUUUAUAUCUUUGUUACAUACAAUAAUGGGCAACAGCUGCAUUUUGUUUAUACAUAGGUUAUUUUGAUAUUUUAUUUUUUUACCUUUAUUUAGACUACAGUUUACAUUUUAUACUUAUUUAACAUAAGGUUGCAAUAACUUUUUACACCGGUUUUUUUUUACUUGCCUUACACAAUUUUUGCUUUUAGAAAUUUUGCGUUAUUAGGGUUACAGCUAGCCUGACUUUUGCUUACAUAAGGAGACUGCGUGGAUUUGAAAUUUUUUUCAAAUCCCUCUUUUUUUUUUUCUACUUCCACACCCCCCUCUUUUGUGCUUUUAGCACAACUAACAUUUUAAAAUUGUAUUUGAAUUAAGCCCUGGAUUUUAGAUUUUAGAUUAAAUACUUUAACUUUAGGAGUUUUGAUUGGAUGCAAUGACAAUGCAUGAUUAGCAUGGACAUGAAAAGUAUUAUUAUUAUUAUGUUUUUUAUAACAACAAUAACAAUUUUAAACUAGACAACAUCAAUAAAAGCAGUAAUAUUUUAUAGUAAUAAUAUGAU